GACGAACGCUGGCGGCGUGCUUAACACAUGCAAGUCGAACGGAAAGGCCCUGCUUUUGUGGGGUGCUCGAGUGGCGAACGGGUGAGUAACACGUGAGUAAACUGCCCUUGACUUUCGGAUAACUUCAGGAAACUGGGGCUAAUACCGGAUAGGAGCUCCUGAUGCAUGGUGGGGGUUGGAAAGUUUCGGCGGUUGGGGAUGGACUCGCGGGUUAUCAGCUUGUUGGGGGGGUAGUGGCUUACCAAGGCUUUGACGGGUAGCCGGCCUGAGAGGGGGACCGGCCACAUUGGGACUGAGAUACGGCCCAGACUCCUACGGGAGGCAGCAGGGGGGAAUAUUGCACAAUGGGCGGAAGCCUGAGGCAGCAACGCCGCGUGCGGGAUGACGGCCUUCGGGUUGUAAACCGCUUUCGCCUGUGACGAAGCGUGAGUGACGGUAAUGGGUAAAGAAGCACCGGCUAACUACGUG
rnacentral:rRNA from 1 species